GGAGGUAUAGCUCAGUGGUAGAGCGAAUGCUUGGUAUGCAUGGGAUCCUGGGUUCAAUCCCCAGUGCCUCUG